UACGUAGGGUGCGAGCGUUAAUCGGAAUUACUGGGCGUAAAGCGUGCGCAGGCGGUUCGUUAUGUCCCGAUGUGAAAGCCCCCGAGCUCAACUUGGGAAUGGCAUUGGAAACUGGCGGGCUGGAGUGUGGCAGAGGGGGGUGGAAUUCCACGUGUAGCAGUGAAAAUGCGUAGAGAUGUGGAGGAACACCGAUGGCGAAGGCAGCCCCCUGGGCCAACACUGACGCUCAGGCACGAAAGCGUGGGAGCAAACAGG
rnacentral:rRNA from 1 species